AACGAACGCUGGCGGCAGGCUUAACACAUGCAAGUCGAACGCAUCGCAAGAUGAGUGGCAGACGGGUGAGUAACGCGUGGGAAUCUACCCAGUUCUACGGAACAACAGUUGGAAACGACUGCUAAUACCGUAUACGCCCUACGGGGAAAAGAUUUAUCGGAAUUGGAUGAGCCCGCGUAAGAUUAGCUAGUUGGUGGGGUAAUGGCCUACCAAGGCGACGAUCUGUAGCUGGUCUGAGAGGAUGAUAAGCGACAAUGGGACCGGGUCACGGCCCAGACGCCUACGGGAGGCAGCAGUGGGGAAUAUUUGAGAAUGGGCGCAAGCCUGAUCCAGCCAUGCCGCGUGAGUGAUGAAGGCCUUAGGGUUGUAAAGCUCUUUCACCGAUGAAGAUAAUGACGGUAGUCGGAGAAGAAGCCCCGGCUAACUUCGUGCCAGCCGCCGCAGUAACAC
rnacentral:rRNA from 1 species